rnacentral:rRNA from 1 species
GAUGAACGCUGGCGGCGUGCCUAAUACAUGCAAGUCGAGCGAACAGACGAGGAGCUUGCUCCUCUGACGUUAGCGGCGGACGGGUGAGUAACACGUGGAUAACCUACCUAUAAGACUGGGAUAACUUCGGGAAACCGGAGCUAAUACCGGAUAAUAUAUUGAACCGCAUGGUUCAAUAGUGAAAGACGGUUUUGCUGCCACUUAUAGAUGGAUCCGCGCCGCAUUAGCUAGUUGGUAAGGUAACGGCUUACCAAGGCGACGAUGCGUAGCCGACCUGAGAGGGUGAUCGGCCACACUGGAACUGAGACACGGUCCAGACUACUACGGGAGGCAGCAGUAGGGAAUCUUCCGCAAUGGGCGAAAGCCUGACGGAGCAACGCCGCGUGAGUGAUGAAGGUCUUCGGAUCGUAAAACUCUGUUAUUAGGGAAGAACAAAUGUGUAAGUAACUAUGCACGUCUUGACGGUACCUAAUCAGAAAGCCACGGCUAACUACGUG